GAGGGUACGGCUCAGUGGUAGAGGGCAUGCCUAGUAUGCACGAGGUCCUGGGUUCAAUCUCCAGUACUGCCA
rnacentral:tRNA from 1 species